AGCAGUGUAGCAGAGUGGUAAGGAGCAGUGCUUUUAACUGAGAGGUUGCUGGUUCGAUUCCCUGCCGGGGCACUGCUG
rnacentral:tRNA from 1 species